rnacentral:rRNA from 1 species
UCUUAGGCUCAGUAACACGUGGAUAACCUACCCUUGAGACGGGGAUAAACCCGGGAAACUGGGUAUAAUACCCAAUAGAUCUCGACUGCUGGAAUGCAUCGAGCUUGAAAGCUCCGGCGCUCAAGGAUGGAUCUGCGGCCUAUCAGGUAGUAGUGGGUGUAGCGUACCUACUAGCCUACGACGGGUACGGGUUGUGAGAGCAAGAGCCCGGAGAUGGAUUCUGAGACACGAAUCCAGGCCCUACGGGGUGCAGCAGGCGCGAAAACUUUACAAUGCUGGAAACAGCGAUAAGGGGACCUCGAGUGCCAGGUUACAAAUCUGGCUGUCGUGAUGCCUAAAAAGCAUUGCAUAGCAAGGGCCGGGCAAGACCGGUGCCAGCCGCCGCGGUAACACCGGCGGCUCGAGUGGUAACCGUUAUUAUUGGGUCUAAAGGGUCUGUAGCCGGCCGGAUGAGUCUCUUGGGAAAUCUGGCAGCUUAACUGUCAGGCUUUCAGGAGAUACUGUCUGGCUCGAGGCCGGGAGAGGUGAGAGGUACUUCAGGGGUAGGGGUGAAAUCUUGUAAUCCUUGAAGGACCACCAGUGGCGAAGGCGUCUCACCAGAACGGACCUGACGGCAAGGGACGAAAGCUAGAGGCACGAACCGGAUUAGAUACCC